rnacentral:rRNA from 1 species
CAGGGAUUGCCUCAGUAACGGCGAGUGAAGCGGCAACAGCUCAAAUUUGAAAGCUGGCUCCUUACGGGGCCCGCGUUGUAAUUUGUAGAGGAUGUUUCGGGCGCGGCGCCGGUCUAAGUUCUUUGGAACGAGACGUCAUAGAGGGUGAGAAUCCCGUAUGUGACUGGUUGCCUGUGCCCAUGUGAAACUCCUUCGACGAGUCGAGUUGUUUGGGAAUGCAGCUCAAAAUGGGAGGUGUAUUUCUUCUAAAGCUAAAUAUUGGCCAGAGACCGAUAGCGCACAAGUAGAGUGAUCGAAAGAUGAAAAGCACUUUGGAAAGAGAGUUAAACAGUACGUGAAAUUGUUGAAAGGGAAGCGCUUGCAAUCAGACUUGCACGGCGUCGAUCAGCCCGGGUUCUCCCUGGUGUACUCGGCGCCGUUCAGGCCAGCAUCAGUUUCGGCGGUGGGAUAAAGGCCUAGGGAACGUGAGUUGUCUCGGCAACUGUUAUAGCCCUAGGUGCCAUGCCGCCUGCCGGGACUGAGGACCGCGCUUCGGCUAGGAUGCUGGCGUAAUGGUUGUAAGCGACCCGUCUUGAAACACGGACCAAGGAGUCUAACACUUAUGCGAGUGUUUGGGUGUCAAACCCAUACGCGUAAUGAAAGUGAACGGAGGUGAGAACCCUUAAGGGUGCAUCAUCGACCGAUCCUGAUGUCUUCGGAUGGAUUUGAUUAAGAGCAUAAUUGUUGGGACCCGAAAGGCACGUUUUACCCCCCCCCAUUCAUUAUUAACCUUAAUACUAACUACUUUACAGAUGGUGAACUAUGCCUGAAUAGGGUGAAGCCAGGGGAAACCCUGGUGGAGGCUCGCAGAGGUUCUGACGUGCAAAUCGAUCUUCAAAUUUGGGUAUAGGGGCGAAAGACUAAUCGAACCAUUGUUGGCUACUGGUGGUUGAGAGGUAUGUUACAUACCUAGUUUCCUUGCGGAAGCUAUACUGCAAACUUGCGGGGACGCUCUUACAGUCUACAUUACCGCUGGCCUGACCGAAAGAUCAGGCCGGCACCAGCUACGCGCUGGGUAUGGUCACAAUAUGUAGGAUUUGGGUGAUCCGCAGCCAUGCCCUACGGGGAACCCUCAGCGGUUCGCUACGGGCAGGGUUCAUCGACUAGAUGGCAGUGGGUGUAGGCUUUUGGCCUACGCUUAAGGGAUAGUCAGAUUACGGCGGGAACGUCGUAUC